rnacentral:rRNA from 1 species
CCCUUAGAUGUUCUGGGCUGCACGCGCGCUACAUUGACGCACGCAACAGGUGCCUGCUCCGAGAGGACUGGGUAAUCAUUUGAGUGUGCGUCGUGAUGGGGAUAGAAUAUUGUAAUUAUUACUCUUCAACGAGGAAUUCCUAGUAAGCGCCAGUCAGCAGCUUGCGCUGAUUACGUCCCUGCCCUUUGUACACACCGCCCGUCGCUCCUACCGAUGGGUGAUCCGGUGAAUGAUUCGGACUUCAGCGGCUCCCCUGGGGUGCGCCGGAGAAAGUUUUGUGAACCUUAUCACUUGGAGGAAGGAGAAGUCGUAACA